CCGUCACAGUCAUUCCUUCAUCUGCCAGGCUCAUGGUACCGGCUUGUUGCCAUGGUAAUACUGUCUGGUGAAGCAGUCGGAGAGCCAUAGAGUCCUAAUUGGCUUCAGUCCUGGUUUCAGAUCACUAACAGCGUUGACUGCAUUAUAUAGAGACACAGACGAUUUGCUCCUCGAGUCGAGACAUGGAGAGGACAGAGAAUAAAGAGUCCACCAUCUCCCCACAAAAACAAACAGUGAAAAACAGAUCCAAGUCAACUGAAGAAGUGCAGCAAGCCAAAAAGGCCUUUCAUACACCACAAAAAUCUCUGCCGGCCAAACCAGAGACCGAACAACUAGAGGUAAACAUGAAAUGACGGAUUAUGAACUUUAGAGCUUGACUUAAAAAAAAAAUGAUCAAAGAUUAGAGCAAAGAACAGUCAGCUCUGCUUGUGCUGUCAGAGCUGCAUUAUUAUGUGCUUCAUGUUUGUGUUUGAAGUCCUCGAUUAUAUUGUGUUUAAUGUGUUGUAUAUUUCAUAGGAGACGGCAGAACUGAGUGCCUCAUCACAGGAGUUUAAAUGAUUGCCGGAUUCAAACUUCUGAGCGCUGAGAUUUAGAGAGAUCGACUGGGAUUAUGGGUCAAAAACAAGAGGAUGAUUCAAUGUCUUUAUUCAUGGAUUUGUGAUUCCGUUUAGCUAGCAUAGUAGAAAAGGAAUAAAAUAAUUAUGUGUAACUUCUUGACUUUGUAUUAGUAUUAUGUUAGUGAAAUAAAUGCAGAACUAGAUAUAACACAGUACAUUGUUUGUUUGUGUGUGUGUGUGUGUGUGUGUGUACUUAAUUUUAUUGAGGUAAUCCUAGGCAUUCAGUAGAGUUAAAUUACAUUAAAAUAUGUAAAAACUAUUUAAAUGACUACAUUUGUAAU
rnacentral:lncRNA from 1 species